rnacentral:rRNA from 1 species
GACGAACGCUGGCGGCGUGCUUAACACAUGCAAGUCGAACGGAAAGGCCCUGCUUUUGUGGGGUGCUCGAGUGGCGAACGGGUGAGUAACACGUGAGUAACCUGCCCUUGAAUUUGGGAUAACUUCAGGAAACUGGGGCUAAUACCGGAUAGGAUCUACUGCUGCAUGGUGGGGGUUGGAAAGUUUCGGCGGUUGGGGAUGGACUCGCGGCUUACCAGCUUGUUGGUGGGGUAGUGGCUUACCAAGGGUUUGACGGGUAGCCGGCCUGGGAGGGUGACCAGCCACAAUAGUACUAAGAUACGGCCCAGACUCCUACGGUAGGCAGCGGUGGGGAAUAUUGCACAAUGGGCGGAAGCCUGAGACAGCAGCGCCGCGUGCGGGAUGACGGCCUUCGGGUUGUAAACCGCUUUCGCCUGUGACGAAGCGUGAGUGACGGUAAUGGGUAAAGAAGCACCGGCUAACUACGUG